rnacentral:lncRNA from 1 species
ACCAGAGCAGCGCUGCCCGCUUGGCCUCGCCACGUCCGGCCCGAGCGCUGCCACCCCCGACACUGCAGGCAUUAAAUGCCACUAUCCAGCGGCGACACAGAUUCCUCCGGAUAACUUGGGGGCCGCGUGCCUUCCGAAGAGGGAACGCCGGAACAAGCCCCGACAGGCGAGGGGCGAGCGGGGGCAGGGAGGUCGGAAGACUCCCUGGAGCAGCUGAGGCUUCCCUUCGCGAUAGACGAAAGGAGUUCCCAAAAGGAGAGUUCGCUGUGCAGUCCCAGUCCCGGCGAGAGCAGAAUUUGGUUCCACGAGUAUUUGGCAACAACCUGAUGACUCAAAAACAUCGUGUUGGGAGAGAGAAGCCAAACACAAAAGAGUUCAUACUGUGUGAUUCCAUUUCCAGGAAAUUCUAGAACAGAGAACUAAGCUAUGGGGAGAGGAAAAGUACCCUUGGGGAUGAGGAGGUAUUGACUGGGAAAGGGCAUGAAGGAACCUUCUGGGGUGGUGAAAUAAAAAUAGAUUGCCGUGUAUGUACAUUUGUCAAAACUUAUAAAUGCCAUUUAAGAUCUAUGCACGAUUUCACUGUUUAAAUUAUACUUCGAUAAGCAAUUUAAAAAAACACCUCGGUGUCCAACCUGCAUAACUAUGCCUGGAUCAUAAAGAUGGAGAAAUUUAAAAAUACACUACAUGGACCUCCCCAGCUCCUCUGGUUUUGCUCAUUGGAAUCCAUGGGAAAAUCACCCUGGAAAAAGCCCUUAAAUCAACCCAGCUGGACACAUGUGCUGAUGGCCCUAGGAAGCUGCAGAAGUACCUCUCCAAAAGGAUGAAGCCGUCUUGGGGGCCAGGGUGCUGUCCUGAGAUGGGAGCGUUUCCUAGGCUGAGGAAGAGCCUGGCAGCCCCACCGGGAAUGCCUAAGCCCUCAGCUGCCCCCAGAGCUCCCUCCUUAGCACCUGGAGCAAAAUGAACAUCAGUGAACAUUUUCUGAAAUGUGUGAGGAGUGAAAAAUUAUUGAUCAAAUAAGACCAAAACAGAGCCCCUCCUUUGCCAAACGAAGAAGCAAACUUUGUAUAAUUUAAAAAUUAAAGAGGAAGCUUCUCAUGCCACCAUCUCUUGCCUAAACAAUGUAUUUCUUCCAUAAUUUGAGACCUGUGUAGAAACAUGAAAUGCUCAUAUGAAUCAAUGCACUCCUAUAAUUUUUUACCAUAAUUUUCUACCAUACUGGCCUUGCCAUAGAGAUGUUUCAUGUAAUUUUGUUUUGUUUCGUUUCUUUUCCUUUCUUUGAUUGUUUUUCCUUCUUUUUUAAAAAACAAAAACAAGAGGAAAACAGAUGGGGGAAGAGAAUUGCCAGAAGGAAGAUGGCCCCAGAGGGUCAGAAGAGGGAUGGCCCAGACCUGCUGUCUCCCUCUUAGUUUGGCCCCACCCACCACCAAAAAAAGAAAGAAAGAAAAAGAAAAGAAAGAUGACAAGGAAAAAAAACCUCAAUCGUCCUCCUGGUCCUAAGACUCAACAUGUAUUUUGAAAACGAGUAGCAGAGGUGGUACUUCAGCUGAGCCAUCACGGAGGAGCAGGAAGGCUGUAACUCCAGAAAGAGGAAUCAAACUUGACAGCGGUUUGUGGGUUUGUUUCCUGGGGACCAUUGCUCAGAGGAAAAAAAAAAAAAGGAAGAAAAGAGAGAGCGAGAAGUGGGGGUGAGGUUUGAUUUCUCAUCGUGAAGUAGCUUUCCUUCUUUCUUUUCUUGAAUUGACAGCACAUUGCCAGGAAGCAGGCCUGUAGUGUAAAUUGUUAAAUUAGCACAUUCCUAAUUUUGGUUAAGACAAUUUUUUAGCACUGGUAGCAAAGGGGGAAAUCUUUAAGUCAACCAAUUUAACCCCACUUAUAUAAGAAAUACAGCUUAUAGCUAUAAUGAUUUUUUUUAAUAUGGCAUAGCGACGGUUAGUAUUUGAAUCUAAUAAGGCUUUAUACAGCUUAUCCAUGAGGAGCCAGAGCUACACAUCCAGAUGAGGAGCCAAAGACACAGUCCACUGCUAUAAACUACGUUGUAUUAAAUUUUUCAUUGCCAUCCUAGCUAAUAAACACCCUUUGUUAGCAAAGGAGGAGGACGCAGGCUUCCAGUUUUUCCUCCACUCAUUUACAUUUGAAAGGGAGUCUAUAUGCCUUCAAGAAUCCUGAAAAUAAAUCAUCUUGUAUUUUAAUAAUUAACUAAAAAGAAACUAAAGGUACAAAAAACUAGCCGUGUGUGGUGGCAGGCGCCUGUAAUCCCAGCUAUUCGGGAGGCUGAGGCAAGAGAAUUGCUUGAACCCGGGAGCCGGAGGUUGCAGUGAGCUGAGAUCCUGCCACUGAACUCCAGCCUGUGUGACAGAGCAAGACUCCGCCUCGUAAAAAAAAAAAAAAGAAAGAAAAAAAAGAAACUAGCCCUAAAAUUAUAUAAGCAAUACAUUUUCAUUCUUUCUUGAAUUCAUCUGUAGCCAUGUUUUGUAUUCAAAGGUGACACUAGCUUCUGUCACUCUCUCAGACCUUGGGUUGGGGGUUAGGCCACAUUUCCAUCUGAGCGACUUCGCAUCUGCUUUCUUCAUCUGAUCCUUUAAUUAAAUAUUAGAUGCACCCACUUGUUUUGAUGUCAAAAUUGCACCUUUCACCAUCAUCCUCAGGGUGCAUUCAGAUAGUUUUUAAGUCCAUAAAUCACCAGAGUAUUUUUUUAAACAUUAAACAUUACAUCAUAAUUACUAUUUUGAACGAUGGCAGGGGGUGAGGGGAUGGGAUGGGGGG